AUUGAACGCUGGCGGCAGGCCUAACACAUGCAAGUCGAACGAGUGGCGGACGGGUGAGUAAUGUCUGGGAAACUGCCUGAUGGAGGGGGAUAACUACUGGAAAAGGUAGAUAAUACCGCAUACCAUCAGAUGUGCCCAGAUGGGAUUAGCUUGUUGGUGGGGUAACGGCUCACAAAGGCGACGAUCCCUAGCUGGUCUGAGAGGAAGACAAGCAACACUGUAACUGAGACAAGGUCCAGACUCCUACGGGAGGUAGCAGUGGGGAAUAUUGCACAAUGGGCGCAAGCCUGAUGCAGCCAUGCCGCGUGUGUGAAGAAGGCCUUCGGGUUGUAAAGCACUUUCAGCGAGGAGGCGUUACUCGCAGAAGAAGCACCGGCUAACUCCGUGCCAGCAGCCGCGGUAAUAC
rnacentral:rRNA from 1 species